rnacentral:sRNA from 1 species
AAUUAAGGUUUGCUUAAUCUCUGACUGGCACACUCUCUUCCAUACCCUGGAGGAGAGUGUGAUGAAACAGCGUAUUUAUGAAAGUGUAACGACCGUAUUCAGCGUACUGAUUGUCAGUAGCUUCCUGUACAUUUGGGUCUCAACCUACUAAACCUU